GCGGGAUUCGUUCAAUGGUAGGACACCUGUUUUCCAAACAGGUAACGGGAGUUCGAUCCUCCCAUCCCGCA
rnacentral:tRNA from 1 species